GAUGAACGCUGGCGGUAUGCUUAACACAUGCAAGUCGAACGGACUCUUCGGAGUUAGUGGCGGACGGGUGAGUAACGCGUGAGAAUCUGGCUUUGGGUUCGGGACAACCACUGGAAACGGUGGCUAAUACCGGAUGUGCCGAGAGGUAAAAGAGAAAUUGCCUGAAGAUGAGCUCGCGUCUGAUUAGCUAGUUGGUGAGGUAAAGGCUCACCAAGGCAGCGAUCAGUAGCUGGUCUGAGAGGAUGACCAGCCACACUGGGACUGAGACACGGCCCAGACUCCUACGGGAGGCAGCAGUGGGGAAUUUUCCGCAAGGGGCGAAAGCCUGACGGAGCAAUACCGCGUGAGGGAAGAAGGCUCUUGGGUUGAAAACCUCUUUUCUUAGGGAAGAACAAAAUGACGGUACCUAAGGAAUCAGCAUCGGCUAACUCCGUG
rnacentral:rRNA from 1 species